GAUGAACGCUAGCGGCAGGCCUAACACAUGCAAGUCGAGGGGUAGAACACUUCGGUGUUUGAGACCGGCGCACGGGUGCGUAACGCGUAUGCAAUCUACCUUGUACAGGGGAAUAGCCCAGAGAAAUUUGGAUUAAUGCCCCAUAGUAUAUAACCUUCGCAUGUUGGUUAUAUUAAGUUCCAACGGUACAAGAUGAGCAUGCGUCCCAUUAGUUAGUUGGUAAGGUAACGGCUUACCAAGACGAUGAUGGGUAGGGGUCCUGAGAGGGAGAUCCCCCACACUGGUACUGAGACACGGACCAGACUCCUACGGGAGGCAGCAGUGAGGAAUAUUGGUCAAUGGGCGCAAGCCUGAACCAGCCAUGCCGCGUGCAGGAAGACGGUCCUAUGGAUUGUAAACUGCUUUUAUACAGGAAGAAACAACUCUACGUGUAGAGUCUUGACGGUACUGUAGGAAUAAGGAUCGGCUAACUCCGUGCCAGCCGCCGCCGUAAAAC
rnacentral:rRNA from 1 species